rnacentral:rRNA from 1 species
GACGAACGCUGGCGGCGUGCUUAACACAUGCAAGUCGAACGGAAAGGCCCUGCUUUUGUGGGUUUCUCGAGUGGCGAACGGGUGAGUAACACGUGAGUAUCCUGCCCUUGACUUUCGGAUAACUUCAGGAAACUGGGGCUAAUACCGCAUAGGAUCUCCUGCUGCAUGGUGGGGGUUGGAAAGUUUCGGCGGUUGGGGAUGGACUCGCUGCUUAUCAGCUUGUUGGUGGGGUAGUUGCUUACCAAGGGUUUGACGGGUAGCCGGCCUGAGAGGGGGACCGGCCACAAUGGGACUAAGGUAGGGACCAGAAUCGUACGGGAGGCAGUAGGGGGGAAUAUUGCGCAAUGGGCGGAAGCCUGAUGCAGCAACGCCGGGAGCGGGAUGACGGCCUUCGGGUUGUAAACAGCUUUCGAAUGUGACGAAGAGUGAGUGACGGUAAUGGGUAAAGAAGCACCGGCUAACUACGUG